ACUUUAAAUUAAAAAGUUGAAACGAUCUAUUCAUAUACAUUGUGAAUUAAUUAAUAUAAAUUGAAAUAAUAUGCAUUGUAAUUUAGCACCGAACACGUGAUGUAUUACACGUACACAAGUUGCGUAUGACGUCAGCGCAUGACACACGGAAGUGUGCGAGACGCGCUGAACGCGAGAUGAGUGAUGCAGAAAUGGAUUAAUAAGAAUGGUGAUUGCUGAUUUGAGUGCAGAUGCUAGCCGAUUGUGAAGCUUCUUUGAAUCUGAAACGGGUGUUUAAAAAAACCUGUGAAACUCGGGAUUUGGUCAGGUUUACUGCUUCAUUGGAAAAAUUCUCUCAUGGAUUUGAGAUGGCGAGCCACCCAAAAUUGAAUGCUGAUUUCUGAGCCUGGGGAAGAGGCAUUUUUGCUGUAUCACAAGGUUUUCGUUGCGCCAGAGACAUCAAUUUCUUCAGUUAGGAGGACUUUGCUUUGUUCUGUUUGGACCACUUCUUCGAACUG